rnacentral:lncRNA from 1 species
GGAGUGUGCGUGGCCUGAGCCGUGCGGGUGACUGCUUCAGGGCUUCUCCGCGACUGGACCGGGCGCCGCUCGAAAGCACGCCCUCCAUUCGCACUGCUUGUUGGGCUCAUCAUGAAGCGCUUGGGCUCCGUGCAGCGGAAAAUGCCGUGUGUGUUUGUGACGGAGGUGAAAGAGGAGCCUUCCUCCAAAAGGGAGCAUCAGGUCAGCACCUUUUGGGGAAACCCCCUAAUCAGCCAUUUAAAGUUUUGGCAACUGAAACUGUAAGUCACAAGGCAUUAGAUGCAGAUAUAUACAGUGCAAUUCCAACAGAAAAAGUGGAUGGAACAUGUUGUUAUGUUACUACCUAUAAAGAUCAGCCAUACCUUUGGGCUCGACUAGAUAGAAAACCCAACAAACAAGCUGAAAAAAGAUUUAAAAAUUUUCUACAUUCAAAAGAAAACCCAAAAGAAUUUUUUUGGAACGUUGAGGAGGACUUCAAACCAGCUCCGGAGUGCUGGAUACCAGCAAAGGAGACAGAACAAAUAAAUGGGAACCCAGUGCCUGAUGAAAAUGGACACAUUCCUGGUUGGGUACCAGUAGAGAAAAACAACAAACAGUAUUGCUGGCAUUCCUCUGUAGUUAAUUAUGAAUUUGAAAUUGCCCUGGUACUAAAACAUCAUCCUGAUGAUUCUGGACUUUUGGAAAUUAGUGCAGUGCCACUUUCAGAUCUCUUAGAACAAACACUGGAACUCAUAGGAACAAAUAUCAAUGGAAACCCAUAUGGGUUAGGGAGCAAGAAACAUCCAUUACAUCUUCUUAUACCACAUGGAGCAUUUCAAAUAAGAAAUCUACCUUCAUUGAAGCACAAUGAUCUCGUGUCCUGGUUUGAAGAUUGCAAAGAGGGUAAAAUUGAAGGAAUAGUGUGG